UUCCAGCCACCGCCGCCUCUGCGAUUCCCCAAUCCCCACUUCCCCAUCUCCUCCAUCCCCCAAACCCUAAAUUCCAGUCGUCGCACCAGCCGCGGAACCCUAGCUCCGGUGCUACUGCCAGAUCAGGACACCUCCUCCGGCGGAAUCGGCGGCGGCUCCUUCCCGGCGCCACACCUCGGAGGCUUGCGCUGCUCGGCGCGCCCCCCGUCGCGUCCUUCCUCCGGCUACGCCUUCAGGAUUCGCGCCGCUCUGGUCCGAGGGCUUUGAACCGUCCUCUUACCUCUGUGCACAUGUCUUAUCCGUUCAUGUGCAAAGCAGGACGAUUACGCCAUCAACGGGUGCCGGACACGGACUCUUGCACCCUCCUUUGCCAGUGUUGUGUCAUGCUCGACCAUGCCAUCAACUUGUGCCAGACACGGACUCCCUCCUUUGCCACAUAAUAGGCAUCAAUCGCUCUAUGGAAGCAUCCAAUCUCGCUGCUCUACCAACUUCGCCGGAACACUGACCACCGGUGCUCCACCUCAGAGUUUGCGAAGAAAAAGCGGAAACCUAUAAUGAUGAGUGAUGACUAUGGUAUUAUAUCCAUCUAAUUACCAGAAUUAAAUAGGCGUGUAGUAUAGAGAGGGACAUAUCAAGUUUACUAUGAACUCAAACAGGACAGGUUUGACAAACAACACACUUCAGGCUCUUUAAUUGAUUAUUAUUUUAGGGAGCAAAGAUGCACACCUGCCUUUCUUGCGCUGUGCUGGGUGUAUAUAAUUUCAUUCUGAUCACCUUGUGGGUUGGUGUGCUAGAUUGCCGCCCUAACAUUUUGCCGAUUAUAUCUAAUCAGUAUACACUAUGUUUCUGUGUUAUGCUAAUGGAUUGGAAUGAACAUAAAUUAACCAAGUAUAUUUACAUGGCCUUAUACUAUGCUUUUCGGUUAGGUUGUUUUCAACUGGAGACAAAUCAGUGUUCUUGUCAUCCAUGGAAGAAGCGGUCAACCUUAUUACUAACUAACAUGUAAACAGUUGUGUUGCCUUCCUAGUCCUAUCAUGGAUUUUAAGCAUACUACUAACGACAUGUUGGCGAGUGUGGCAGGUUUUACCUAAUUCAAAACAUGGACAGUACUGAAAUUCUAGCCUUCACGCAGCCAGUAUACCCCAUCUAAAUUUCUGAAGUUUAUGGACAGUACAACUAAAUUUAGCAGCUGUUGCUAGUGAAACACAAUUGGGUAGAGCAAAUUAAUUGCUGUUGUACUGAAACAGUAGGUUCAAUUGGUUUUUGUGCAGCAGGAGGGCAGAAAUUAUAUUACCUCCGUACUAAAUACUUAUCUUAGAUUUGUCUAGAUACGGAUGAUGUGCUAUUCCUGGGUUAUUAUAAUUCUUGAUCAUGGGCUGGCUGCUGUUGCUUCUUCCAUCUCACCAAGGAAUCCAGGAACUCCAUUUCCUGCGUGGCAAUUUGGCCAGUGAAACGGCCAGAUCGGUGAGCAACUGACCGAGCAAAAUCGACAGGUUGUUUUCUUAUUGCAGACCAUGCUUUAGAGACACACAAACCGCUACUGCUGCUUUUGCUUUGUGACAUUUUCAGAUCCACAGAUAGAUCUGCUGAUGGAUUUAAGUUUCAUUCACCAACUUCAAAUACUCAAUUCCUCAGAGAUGAGGAUCUUUCUGCAGCUCAUGUGUUGAACUCAGGUUUACACAUUGGCGCUCAUGAUUUGUCAAACAAACAUUAUAGCCCUCAUGGAUGCUAUUGUUUGCAAAGUUAGAAUGGAACGAUGCAAAGAGAUUCAUGAUUUAGAAGAACUUACAAGGGAGGAUCUGAACUGCUUUCAUUGGAAUUUGACGAAAUUCCCAACCACAUAGGUCACACAAAAUUUAAGCCUCCAUGGUAUUAAAAAUGCCAUAUUUGCCAGUCCUCUGUUUAGAGGUCCUUUAGUCUCAUAUUUCUUAUGCAAUUACGGUAUGACAAAAAUUAUCAUUUCAGGUUUUAUCAAACGUGUUUCUCCUUUUAACGUUAGCUUGGUCAAUGUGCAUGCUAUUCGAUUAUCCGAAGCAAAACUAAUCCUUUGCACCCCAGCGAUGGAUAAAGCCAGGUCUGUUUUCCUGGGGACAACCAAUCCUUGAGAAGGCCCAAAGAUUUGGGGGGUAAGUUAAUUUGUUAAGCAUCUGAGCAAACAAAGUUCUUAUUUUCUAAUGCCAAUUUACAGGACGUGGUUAUAAUUUCAGUUUUUUAGCUUCAGCCUGAAGUCAUACAUACAUGUAUAAGCCUUCAAGCAUGGCAAAAAUUUGAUGUGUCAGUGAAAUUUCGGUUCAGUUUGCCAUAACAAUUAAUUCUACAAGUUCUCUAAAAUAAAGUUGCACUACAUAGUUUGAUUCUGUUAUCAAUUCGAUUUUAGUUCAUUCUUCCUGAGGUUGACGUGCGAGUUUCUGCCAUAUUUUCAUAGCAGGGAGAAGCCUUGAGAGUACAUGACUUAUUUGUGAAUCUGGAUGUUACGACUGAUCAUAUCCAGUAUAGUUGUUGAACAAAUAUUCUAAGCAUCCCACCAUCAAAGCAUCCUAGCUGCAUUUUCCGUUCAUCAUUAUGAAUAAAGCACUAUAGCUGGGCUAACUGAGGUGAGUCGAAUUUCGUUAACAUUAACAAUUACCCAAGAAGAAGCAACAGCUUAGCCCUUCUCAGCUAACUUUACCUUUGGUUCUCCAUCAGUUAGAUGACAUGAUUACAAAUUUUACAACACUAAUUACAAUCUGUUCAAUUAGUUUAUAUGUGCCAAUGCUCCAUUCUGUUUUUCAUAUCACAAAUGUCUAAGUCAUAUAUCUGCCUAUAUGUGAUACAUAUGUACUUUUAGAAGUCGCACACAACGUGUGAUUGUUUCCACCGUCCAAAUGAAUUGUUAUAUUCAAUACAUUUGAGGCUGCCUCGAAGCCUCCACCAAGAGUAAAAAGGUAAAAAGUCCCACAUUACUUCAGAGGUUCAUAGACCUUCAGUCAACAUGCAUAUUUGUCUACUGUUAUUUAGCUCCGAGGUAGAUUUCCAUUUCUUGGAGGCUCGAAUGAAUAAGACACUCCAAUUAUUAUCUUAUUUUAUACUGUGGUGUAGUAUAUAACUCUAGAAGAUGACAACAGUAAUUUUUUUUUGUUUAUGUUGUUGAAGACCAGCUUGAUUUUUUUACAGGCGCACUGUGACCUGCUACUUCAUUACUUAAUUAACAAGUUUCAGAUAGGUGAAUUUCUUUUUUACCAUCCUACAACAUUUCUGCGAGAGUAAGAAGGACAAUUGGUGUUUUUAUGUAUGUACCAAGCUUGAUGAACGCUCACCAUGAAGCCUUCCGCAGUUCACAAGCUCACCAAGAUAGUUGUGCAGAAUUUUCAGAAUACGCUUCUCUUGCUAUUUUUGUUUGGUGGCUGAGGGAAUUGCAGAUGCAAGCCUGCAACACUCGGUGUCUGGAAAACCUAUCUUGGUCGUUACACAUCAGUUCCUGGGUUCCAGGGGACACGGGCCUUUUGUCAUACUUCCAUGUGUCAGAAGGGCCGGAUCUUGGCAUUCCUGCCCUUACUCCAGAAACAGGAACUGCAGUUAAAAUGUUUUCUGUUGAGCAUACUUGUUCAUCGUGCUGUUUCUGAACUGCUUCUGUGUCUUGGUUUCUGAAAGAAAGGCAACCCUCUGCUUGAUCUAGUUUUCUUCUGUUAGUGUUCUCCUUAACACCUGAAUAUGAAACAGUAAAGAGAUUCAGAGAAAAUAUGUCGUGAUAAGAUGUAAAUUCAUAUACGCAUUUAUCACCAUUAGAACCGUGAAUGAAAUAUAUACCAGUAGCAAUAUAAGUUCUAAAUGUGCGGGUUCUUAUCCAAAACAGAAGCA